UACGUAGGGGGCGAGCGUUGUCCGGAUUCAUUGGGCGUAAAGCGCGCGCAGGCGGCUCAGCGAGCCCGGCGUGAAAGCCCCCGGCUCAACCGGGGGAGGUCGUCGGGGACCUGUGGGCUGGAGGCCGGUAGGGGCGAGUGGAAUUCCCGGUGUAGUGGUGGAAUGCGUAGAGAUCGGGAGGAACACCAGUGGCGAAGGCGACUCGCUGGACCGGUCCUGACGCUCAGGCGCGAAAGCUAGGGGAGCGAACGGG
rnacentral:rRNA from 1 species